GCUAGUGUGGUGUGGUGGUUUGAGCACUGGACUAUGACUCUGGAGACCAGGGUUCCAUUCCCAGCUCAGACA